rnacentral:misc_RNA from 1 species
CUCACACUGCCGCCCGUUUUGCUUCGACCUUAUCGGGAACGCGAUAAGAGCUCCUGUACACCGCUGCCGCGCCGCCGUCGGCCAGUCCAGCGCGGUACCCGGAGUUGUAAGCCGCCGCGUCAGACAUCAUCACGUCGCUGGCGACCAGCAUCCCGCCGAUCGCGCCGCUGACCAGCCCCGCGCCGAGGCCUACCCCGAAGUCCAGCUUUCCGUUGCUCUCCUCGCUCGCCGGUGCCGGCAGAGCAUUGCGCCCGGGACCGGCAGCCGCCUGCUGCGGAUAAGCAGAAGCAGCCGGCGGGUAAGUAGCAGCAGGCAAGCUGUACGGCGAAGGCGGGUGCAGGGCCAGGGUGUCGCGUCCGCCGGCAGCUUGCGCGGGAGGAGAGGGCCCGGGCGCCAGGGACAGCGGCGAGGGCAGGUAGGCGUACGGCGCGGGGUAGUACUGCCGCGGCACUACUGGGUAGCCGACGAAGGCGGCAGCGGCCUCGUCGGCUCUCGCCAGAGGCGCCGCCUGCUGGCCGACGAUGGGGCCCAGGCGGUACGACACGUUGAGCACGCCGCGAGGCUCGCAACGGUGCACCUUGCGGACCUGGUACGAUGCGAGCUGCGGAGGCCGGGGGCCAGGGUCGGACGCGCCGCCAGCGGUGGCGAGGAUGUCAGCCAGGGGCACGAUGACCUCGCCGACGUCGCGGUCGCCCAGGGCGCGCUCGGUGCGCAGGAGCACGUGGAGGCAGCCGGUGGCCGUCGCGGCGGUGGGCGGGACGUUGAACCGGAACGAGGUGUUCCAGGACGGGUGGCGCCCGCCGUAGGGGUCCGGCUGGGUGCACUGCCGCGUCAGAGGGUCGCCGGAGAUGCUCACCACGGCGUAUACCUCCAUGCGCGAGAUCAGGUUCACCCUCUUCAGGUCCUUGGCCGACAGGAGAGUCACCUCCAACGCCCUGUACGCCAUGGCGCGCGCUCUGUGUGAUGAUUGAUGGGUGCACCAUGCUUUGUCGACUAUUCUGCAUGUUUAUAUAGAAGGUGGUGUGGGUCCGGCCAUCAUUCUAGGUAGAAAACAUGUUUAGGCUAAAUACCUUGAUUUUUAAAAGGAAUACACAUAUACACAAAAUUUAAGAUUGAC